CAGGACAUCACAGAGGGUGAGAAUCCCGUCUGGCGGGGCGGCCUGGCUCCGUGUAGAGCGCCAUCGACGAGUCGAGUUGUUUGGGAAUGCAGCUCUAAGUGGGUGGUAAAUUCCAUCUAAAGCUAAAUAUUGGCGAGAGACCGAUAGCGAACAAGUACAGUGAUGGAAAGAUGAAAAGAACUUUGAAAAGAGAGUGAAAAAGUACGUGAAAUUGUUGAAAGGGAAGGGUAUUGGAUCAGACUUGGUGCUGUGCGAAUAGCGGCCCUUCUUGGGCUGCCCACUCGCACUCCACCGGGCCAGCAUCGGUUUGGGCGGCAAGACAAUGGCGGCGGAACGUGGCACUGCUCCCGGGCAGUGUGUUUAUAGCCCCCGCUGAUGUUGCCUGCCUAGACCGAGGACUGCGGCUUCUGCCUAGGAUGCUGGCGUAAUGAUCCAACACCGC
rnacentral:rRNA from 1 species